UAAAUAGUCGUACUUUUUUCUCUUUCUUCUUUUUUUCUCCAAAAUUAGGAUUUGGUUUGCUUUUAAUUUUUGUAGUGUAUAUAUUAAUGCGCUGGCAAUUGGAGCUACAAAUUGGGGGUGAAUGUGUUUCGUGCACACAGAUGCACUUUAUGUAAACAUGUGGGCACACGGACAAGGUUGUGAAAGAAGAAGUGUAUUGUUGAGGCCAAGAAGAAGAAGAAGCGAAAAGGACAACGAGUCGAACACUCCCACACAUGUGCAUUUCUAAACAGAUAAAAAGGGGGCAGCCAAGCUUAAUGUAUUUUUGGCACACACUCGCCCCACCUCCCACCCUCCCUUUCUCGACUUCGCUUAUCCCAUUUCGCUUUGGUGCAUUCAACCUGCCGGGGAGCAAGACAGGUGCAUUUACAGUUCCUCGAGAUCAACAGCUGUAUGACAAAGGUCAGCCUUAUUUCGAGAAAGGUCUUGGAGACAACGCAAUUUGCUACACUUUAAUGCGUAGAAAAAUAAGGAAAAGUGCAGUAAAUAUUCCCACCCCCUUUUCCCACACCUUGUUAUUGUUGGCCGAGCUUACAGGGGUUGUUGUUGCUGCGUAG